CUGGGGGGGGGCAAGGCUUUGUCGCCAAAAAUCCUUUUAGGGGCUUUCUUCUCUAAUCAAGGGUAAACUUUGGUUAAAAUUUCAGCGCGAUCGGAGGUUUACGCUUUUCGGAACUGUACCCUUUAGUUGUAAAUACAUAAUCAACGUGUUGGCAUUUUGCAUACGCGGAAAACUCUUUGCUGCUACGAGUAAGUAAAUUCGUGUCUACAUUAUUAUGGUACAUCCAUCUAUUUAACAAUAUAUGUUGAUAUGUUAAAUGACAGAUAUAUAUCAGAUUUAUCUUUGUCUCUGUUUCUCGUACUGUAUAUAUAGCAAAUAUAAUAUGACAAUAGUACUAGAACAUUAACAUGCUUACAUGUUACUAUCAUGCAUCGAUUUAUGAGCUCGGAAUGUAGUUCACAAUCAAUCAUCACGCGUUAACAUUACCCGACAUCACCCGAUUGUCACCAUUAUACUAAUGUGUUCUAUUCUCUACGCGUCGUCGUAAUCGUAACUAUAUAUAACUAUAUAUAACUAUAUAUAACUAUAUAUAACUAACGAAGAAUGUUACUGAACGAAACCAUCAACAAUAAGAAUAAUUCUUGAGGAGAGCUUGAAGAAGAAUACUCGUGAGAUUGUAGAUCGAUUUUAAGUGAACUCCGCAGAGAGAGGGAGAAGUAUCUCCAUUUAAAACGUACAUAUAGUCAGAGUAUGUACAGUAGGAUAGGACAUAUAUACGUAGGUAGGGAUUUUCCACAGAAAAGAUAGGAAAAGAGAAUUUGGCUAGCAGGAUUGUGGGUGGAUUAGGUGGAUACCCUUUAACAAAUUACUUUUAUUCGUCCGCUCAAAAUGAGUCUGAAGUUUUAGGAACAGUCUAAUAUUUUCUUCUCUCGCCUUUACAAAAACUUUCCAAAAGGUACUCAUAAAAAGCAUUCAUCAUCUUAAAUAUCUCCUCGAUUUAAUAGCAGCUACGACAAUUGAAGAUUUUCUUUUUACUUGUGCCAAGUUUCGUGAUAUAAGCUCGUCUAAAACAGUUACAUAUACCGACCAAAAUUAUAUCACCUUUAGGUUUUUUAAGCAUAACUUGUUUUAAAGUGCACGGAUCUUUACCAUAUCAUAAUAUAUUUUGAUGGUAAGUAUACCUUACUGAAGAAAUAACUUUUCAUUAAUUUAUUUGAAAUUUCUGAAAUAAUAAAUUUUGAUUGCAUUAUAACAAAUACAUACAAACGCUUUAAAAAUAAACAACAUAUCCAUAAUUUAUUGUACAACUCUAGUACUUUGUAGCAAAACCUUUGGCACCAAUUACAGCUUGGCAGCGUGACACGAAAAACAAAGAUAACAAAAAUGUGUGAUUUUCACAAAAUUAAUCAAAAAUUUUUAAAUCAUGGUGUACUUUGUCAAAUCUCAUUACACUUCAUGCACAAGGUGUACCUGUUACUAGAUGUCUACUAUAAAAUUUUUAGCGUAUUUGAUGUACCUUGACAAAAGUUAUACUUAAAAAACCUGGUUAUACUUAAAAAAGGUGAUAUUAUUCUAGCCGGUACUGUAUGUAUAUUUAUAAAACAAAAAGUAACAAUAAAUAUCAAAAUGAUUGAACUUAUGUAAUUUUUUUUUUGCGUAAUUACAAUAUUAACACCGGCUUUCCUACAAAAGAUGCGUUUUAUAUGAAAACGGUUCUUAGGGGUUUUUAGGGGCGUCGGUUCCAAAAAAAAAUAUUAAAAUUAAAAUUCAAAGUGAUGGAUUCAAGACGGCGGUUAUAAAAUGGUGAAAUAUCAAUAUAUUUAAAAUAUAAGCGCGAAUUAAAGUUUCUCUUUAAUUACGAAUUUCAAAUGGCGGUUAUAAAAUUACGAAAAAUAAUUUGCAGUUUUAUGAAACAAUCUAGAUUAAAACAAUAUCACAGCCAUACGCACAUGCACAGAUACACGCACACACUCACACGCACAGACAACGCACAGACACGCACACAUACACAUGCAACUUCAAUCUAGAAAUAUAUUUAAAACGAUAAAAAUAUUUUGAAAGUCUGAAAGAAAAAUUAUGCACACUUUGGUUAUACGUAUAAACUAUUACAAUAUUUAUAAUAAAAUUUCUUUUAUUUUUUUCAUAAUUAAAUGAGAUUUCUAAGUAUAUAAUUAGCAUCAAUUCAAUGAAUUUUUGAUAUAUUAUUCUUCACUAUCUAAAAGUUAGAGUUUUCGUAAAGUUUACAUAACUAUAUUUUAUUGAAAACAUAACAUUUUAGAUUGUACGACAAUUUGUACAUAUAGCUUGAUCCUUCCUUUUUAAAAUGAGCGAAGUAAAAUAUGGGUCAAUAGGACUAUUUGUUUAAAAGUUAUGAUGAUUUUUGUAAGUGGGACACAUAUGUCCCAAAGGUACGAAAGGGUUAAAGCAAAUUUAUAAAGUAUUAAUGUGAUACAAUAAAUUGAGAAGAAAGCAUAAAAAUUUUAAUUUAAUGAACUGUAAAAGUAAAUUCUCAUCGCAACUGUACUUCUUCGCAAAGUAGUACAUUAUGUAACAAGAGCGUAAAGUCGGCCUUUUAUGCACGAAUGCGUUCACCAGCACGAGUGCAAAACGCCAUUACGUCCAUGUAUACCAUAUUUUUUUUAUCUGUGCGUCGAUGUAUGGUCCCUUGGGUCCCGAGUAGAAAAUAAUUAGGGAAAUCCUUAUGUAGCAUAAGGCCCCGAUAAGGAUUUAAUAAGGAUGCCAUAAAAAGGGCUACCUUAAUAUUACCACAUCAGGGCCUUAUAAGGUGUUAUUAAGGAUGCCUUAAACUUACUGAGUAAGAUUUUGUUAUGGAAAACUAACAAGGGCCAUACAAGGUGUUAUUAAGGAUGCCUUAGAUUUACUAAGUAAGAUUUUGUUAUGGAAAGCGAAAAAGGGUCUUACAAGAUAUUAUUAAGGAUGCCUUAGAUUUAUUAAAUAAGAUUUUGUUACGAAAAGCUAAUAAGGGCCUUACAAGGUACUAUUAAGGAUGCCUUAGAUUUACUAAGUAAGAUUUGGUUACGAAAAACUAAUAAGGACAAGUCGCAAUAUCGAAAAAA